rnacentral:rRNA from 1 species
UUGGCUCAUUACAACAGCCGUUGUUUCUUGGAUCUUACUUUACUUGGAUAACUGUGGUAAUUCUAGAGCUAAUACAUGCAACGAAGCUCCGACCUUGGGGAAGGAGCGCAUUUAUUAGACCAAGACCAAACAGAUUCGUCUGAAACUUGGUGACUCUGAAUAACUUUGCUGAUCACAUGGUCCUAGCACCGGUGACAUAUCUUUCAAGUGUCUGCCCUAUCAACUGUCGAUGGUAGUUUAUGUGCCUACCAUGGUUGUAACGGGUAACGGAA